GAAUUUGUAAUAUAUACUAAUAAUAAGAAAACAUUCUUAUUGCGGUCUUUUUCACGUGUCGUGCCUUAACCCAUCUUUAAUUGUGCCAUGCUUUUAAGGUCCACGUGCCUAAAAUUCUAAGUUUGGCCUAACCCUUGUGCGUGUCGUGCUAGGCUGGGCAUCGAAUUGUAUUAGAUAUGUAUCCCAAUUACAUACAAAAAAUAUGUCACACAUUAAAACUUCGUGAUAAAUAAUGCUAGGAAGUUUUGGUUCCCACCCAAAUUCUCUACAAAAUAUGUCAAAUAAGCAUAUAAACAAAAUAAAGGAGGAGAAUAAUAUCAAUCACAUAACAUAGAUUUUAUGUGGAAAACUUCACUAUCAAAGAAAAAAUGCAGCCAUCAAGAAUGACUAAAUAAUAUCCAUCACGUGUAAAAUUGUUAUAAUUAAACUACAUUCUCCUAAUGGGUUUUUUUCUUAGAUCAUCCCAAUUACAUACAAAAAAUUUCUCAAUCAUACAACAUAUACUCCACAAUCUCACAAAUUCUUUCUUCAAAUUUUUAACUAAAUUGAGAGAUGGGAUGGGAUUUACCAACCCCAGUCUCAUCCCGUAUAUGCAAGUGAGAUGAAAAAAUGUCUCACUCCCGUCCUUAUAUUUUUUUUUUUGGAAAAAAAUAUGUCUCAAUCUCGUCCCAAAAAAGAUGGGAUCCUAGGGGAUCCUAUCCCAAUUAGAAAAAUUAUCAUUCUUAGUUGGCAAUGAAACGGAAUCGGAUGAGAUUUGCCAAUCCCAGACCCGUCCCGUAUAUACAAGUGAGAUAAAUAAUGUCUCACUCCCAUCCCUAUAUUUGUAAUAUUUAGUUAUGUCUCACUUUAGCUCCUUUUCUUUCGAACAUAUUUUUGUUAUUAAAGUUUUGGAAUUUGUAAUAUAUACUAAUAAUAAGAAAACAUUCUUAUUGCGGUCUUUUUCACGUGUCGUGCCUUAACCCAUCUUUAAUUGUGCCAUGCUUUUAAGGUCCACGUGCCUAAAAUUCUAAGUUUGGCCUAACCCUUGUGCGUGUCGUGCUAGGCUGGGCAUCGAAUUGUAUUAGAUAUGUAUCCCAAUUACAUACAAAAAAUAUGUCACACAUUAAAACUUCGUGAUAAAUAAUGCUAGGAAGUUUUGGUUCCCACCCAAAUUCUCUACAAAAUAUGUCAAAUAAGCAUAUAAACAAAAUAAAGGAGGAGAAUAAUAUCAAUCACAUAACAUAGAUUUUAUGUGGAAAACUUCACUAUCAAAGAAAAAAUGCAGCCAUCAAGAAUGACUAAAUAAUAUCCAUCACGUGUAAAAUUGUUAUAAUUAAACUACAUUCUCCUAAUGGUUUUUUUUCUUAGAUCAUCCCAAUUACAUACAAAAAAUUUCUCAAUCAUACAACAUAUACUCCACAAUCUCACAAAUUCUUUCUUCAAAUUUUUAACUAAAUUGAGAGAUGGGAUGGGAUUUACCAACCCCAGUCUCAUCCCGUAUAUGCAAGUGAGAUGAAAAAAUGUCUCACUCCCGUCCUUAUAUUUUUUUUUUUGGAAAAAAAUAUGUCUCAAUCUCGUCCCAAAAGAGAUGGGAUCCUAGGGGAUCCUAUCCCAAUUAGAAAAAUUAUCAUUCUUAGUUGGCAAUGAAACGGAAUCGGAUGAGAUUUGCCAAUCCCAGACCCGUCCCGUAUAUACAAGUGAGAUAAAUAAUGUCUCACUCCCAUCCCUAUAUUUGUAAUAUUUAGUUAUGUCUCACUUUAGCUCCUUUUCUUUCGAACAUAUUUUUGUUAUUAAAGUUUUGGAAUUUGUAAUAUAUACUAAUAAUAUUAAAAUGUGAAAUAAAAGAUUUUGUGAUAUAAAUCAAUUUCUUUUUGUUAUGUUUUGGUGCCUUUUAAUUUUACCAAUAAAUCAAUAGGCAAUGAUCCAAUUCAAUUUUUUAUUUUUUAAAAAUAAAUUAACUAGUGAUACCAUGGUAACAAUAAUCAUAGACACUAAUAAAAUAUCAAUAACUACUAACACUAUGGUGUCAUAAUAUCGGUGAUACUGUAGUAAUAGUAAUCACUGACACCACUUACAAGUGUCACUAUUUUCUGACUCCCAGAUUACUUACACAAUUAACAAGUGUCAGUGAAAGCAAUUUCUGACACUAUUCUAAAGUCAGUAAAGACCAUUUUUCUAGUAGUGAUAAUAUCAAUCACAUAACAAAAAUUUUACGUGGAAGACUUCUCUAUCAAAGAAAAAAAAUAGCCAUCAAGAAUGACUAAAUAAUAUCCACCAUGUGUAAAAUUAUUAUAACUAAACUACAUUCUCCUAAUGGUUUUUUGCCUUACUCUAUCCCAAUUACAUACAAAAAAAUUCUCAAUCAUACAACAAUAUUACACAGUCUCCCAAAUUAUUUAUUUAAUUUUUUGACUAAAUUGAACAACUUUAUAAUUUGUGCAUGUUAAGACUUGUCUUAAAUAUUGUUAUUGGGCACUUAUCUAUCAGCUUCUGGGCCACGCCGUUUAUCCAAUACAAUUGGAAGUCAAAGUCUAAAGUUUGAUUUCCUCAAUGUUCUGGUCCGACGAUUCUAUUAUUAGGCUCUUACUUUGAGAAUGUUCUAGUUACACAAUACUGUUAUUAGGAUCUUACUUUAUGCUUGUGAGACAAGCAGUUUCUCUAUCUGUGCACAACUUUAGUUGCCAAUCUCAUAUUAAGCUAUUAGGCUCUUACUCUAGGACUCUUACACCUUGAGAAAGUUUUAGUAAAACAAUACUAUUAUUACGCUCUCACUUUAGCCUUUUUAGAUAAACAAUUUCUCUAUCCGUACGUAACUUCGCUAGCUAAUUUAAUCUGACAAAUUACAUUUGACAAUUACAUUUUGACAAUUACAUUUCUGCAAUAUAUCUUGCUUCCAUUUCUAGUAAUUCAUUAUUUAAAGAUGUCGGUGGUACGGACAAAAUCAUACAAUUGCCAAAUUAGCUAGCUUGAUGACUUGGACUGAUAUUGUAUAUACCAUGCAAAAAACUCAAUAUGACCCUGCAUGCAUAUUUUUUUACGCAAGAAAGAGACAAAAACAUCGCGCAAACAUUUAAUGGAUAAUCGCAUAAUUUCAACUGCUGAGAUAGGGAAAAAAUCAUCCUCACUUGCAAAACUAGUACUGAUUAAAUAAGAUUUAUUAAAAGAUAUAUAUAACGAUCCUUUGUUAUAUUCAAAGUUUUACAUAUUUUGCUUAAAAUAU
rnacentral:lncRNA from 1 species